GACGAACGCUGGCGGCGUGCCUAAUACAUGCAAGUAGAACGCUGAAGGAGGAGCUUGCUUCUCUGGAUGAGUUGCGAACGGGUGAGUAACGCGUAGGUAACCUGCCUGGUAGCGGGGGAUAACUAUUGGAAACGAUAGCUAAUACCGCAUAAUAGCAGUUGUUGCAUGACAACUGUUUGAAAGGUGCAAUUGCACCACUACCAGAUGGACCUGCGUUGUAUUAGCUAGUUGGUGGGGUAACGGCUCACCAAGGCGACGAUACAUAGCCGACCUGAGAGGGUGAUCGGCCACACUGGGACUGAGACACGGCCCAGACUCCUACGGGAGGCAGCAGUAGGGAAUCUUCGGCAAUGGACGGAAGUCUGACCGAGCAACGCCGCGUGAGUGAAGAAGGUUUUCGGAUCGUAAAGCUCUGUUGUAAGAGAAGAACGAGUGUGAGAGUGGAAAGUUUACACUGUGACGGUAUCUUACCAGAAAGGGACGGCUAACUACGUG
rnacentral:rRNA from 1 species